rnacentral:lncRNA from 1 species
UCAGAACUGGACACUGAGGAGGGCAAUGCCUACUAUCUAAUUCACUGAUAUUUGUUAUAGUCAAAAUAGGUACAAAUACUGAAAAUAAAUUUGGUAGGGUAUGUAAUGGCUUUCAUAUUAAAUGCACCUUCCGGUGACUACUGAUAUUUUCACCUCAGUGACUUACUAAAAAAGUCUUUUGGAAGUUUUUACGUUAAGCACCACUGAGUUGUUUUGUUUUGUUUUUAAGUUUAUUUAUUUAUGUUGAGAGAGAGAGGGGCGGGGGCAGAGAGAGAGAGGUGGAGAGACAGAAUCCCAAGUAGGCUCCGUGCUGUCAGUGCAGAACCCAACGCGGGGCUUGAACUCACGAACCAUGAGAUCAUGACAUGCGCCGAAAUCAAGAGUCAGAUGAUUAACCAAUUGAUCCACCCAGGUGCCCCAGAUUUUUGUUUUUGUAAUGAACUGCAUAUGAUGUUUGUGGACAUUUCUAUAAAGAUGUUAAUAUCAGGUCCUUUGGUCAGAAAUGUAAUCUGCCACAACAAUCUUCUUUUAGUGGGAAAACCAAAUACGACUGGCAUAAUUUUGACUUUUCCAGGAGUGCAGCCCACUAGAAAUGAGACAAGGAUGACUGUGUGUACAUCAACCAACACACUCAUUACAGUAUGGGUAUGUAUGUUCACACACCGAAUGCAGUGAAAUCAUCUCCAAUCACUACAGAUGGCACCUUGCAUGUUGAUUUUGUUUCCAGUCAGGGGUACAGGAGGCAUCCUUGAUGUAAGGAAUUCAUCCCUUCUGCUUGGAUUGUUCUCUAUCAGAACCCUCAAUCCUGCAGCCCGGACUUCUCUGCAAGUUACACGGCCCCUGAACUGACCACUUUGGCUUGAACCUCUGGCAGAAGGAAGGGGAGAGAUGAACUAGUUUAGCAAUAACCACCGGCUUCAGCUUUCGUGCUUCCCCCCAGUUCUUUUUUUUUUUUUUUUUUUAACUGUUACAUUUGUCCAAAUAGCAUUUGGAUCAUCUUUGGAUCUCUACAUUCCUAGAACAGCAAUGCAGCAAAGCCAGGUGUCUUACACGCUUUCUCCAGCCCUGUCCUUUAUCCUGACCAGUAAAUAUCAAAACAGGUCAAAACCAUGGCCCAUGGGAUUGACUCUGCAACCCCCUCCAGACAUGUUUUACUAGGAGUCCUGUUAUACAGGUUGAAUUAGUUUAUGGAGAACAAUCCAUGAACACUUUACUGUGGAAACAUAGUAUUAUAUAAAGCUUAAUAUUAAACAUUAUGAAAAAAAUACAUAUUUACAGAAGAAACUACAAAAUACAACUAUGUACAAUAAUAUCUGUUACCUUUAAAUUACAUAAAUUCUUUAAAAUUCUCCAGAUUAAUAAAUUAUACAUAGCGACAACAGAAAUAGCUGGAACCUCUGUAGGGCAUGAAGCAAAUUUUUUAAAAAAUCACACAGUGCAUAGUUUUUAUCCAAGAGAUCUUCAGAUACAUUCUCAAUGCCUUGAAUAGCCCGUGUCUGAAAGGAAGGACAUUGUAAUUAGAGAUGCAGCAGGGUGUAUCAUAGUUGUUUGUUCCAUUUAUGAAGAUUACAAAUGAAUGAGGCUGACAGAAAUGACUAACGUUCAAUAUGGUUUAAAGUGAGACCAUCCCUGGAGGGGUCAGCUCAUCCCAUUCAGAACCAUAGAUUACUAGAACUGGAAGAAACCAGUAAUUCUAGUCCAUCCUCUCUGAUUUUACAGAUGUAAAGUAACUAACUUUACAUCUGGUAAAGUAACUAACUCAGGGUUACACAGCUUGGCAAUACCAGUUAGUUCCAGAGCUAGGACCUGAAUUCUACUUUCAGACACCUGAAGCUAACUAUACCACAGCUAGCUCUUUCGGGAGCACCCAAGAUAACUCUUGAAAAAGACUCUCAAGCAAGUCAUAAUAAGACAAAGGAAGUUCCAAGAUCCCCCAGAGCUCCCUCCAUCCCAGAGCUUCUUAAAGAAUGUGACAUGCAAAAACCUUAAUUUACUAUACAGAUAAAUUAGGGGGUGAUUAUUUAUAAUACAAGAGUAUUAACUGACUGACAAAGGACUCCUUUAAAUAGCAGCUCUCUCAUGUUUUUGUGCUUCACAGAUUAUUAACUAUUUAACAUAGUGGCUAGGUGGGUGGGUACAAGGGGUGCAGAGAACUUACAAAAAUCGAGGAUCAGUUAGAAAUGGAGAUGAAAUAACUGAAAUAAUGCUUAAAGAAUGAUCUGAUUUAUAGAUGGACAUGGGUCCAUGUGGCAAGGAACUGAGACCUAUACCAAUAGCCGUGUGAGUGCACCAUCUUGAAAUGGAUCCUCCACCCCAGUUGAGUCUUCAGAUGACUGCAGCCCCUGGCCACCAACUUGACUACAGCAUCAUGAAUGACCCUGGGCCAAAACCACCCAGCUAAGCUCCUCCCAAAUUCCUGAUCUACAGAAACUGUUAGAUAAUAAAUGUUGAAUUAAACUGCUAAAUUUUAGGGUAAUUUGUUAGGCAGUAAUAGAUAACUAAUACAGUGUAACUUCAAAUUAGCCUCUGUGAUACAUUAGGUCUAAAUGAUAUCAAGUAAUUAGUGUCUGACCUAAGCAGUGCCUUAUAAAGUUUAUAUAUUCUUUCACUAAAAUUUUUGUUUAAAAAAUCGUUACAUGCUUAUUCUAGAAAAUGUACAUGAAACGGAAGAAAAAUUGUAUUUUAUUGCUGUGAGAAAUUUGUCUACUAUUGUGGUAUAUUUCUUACCAGUCUUUUCUCCCCCACUUCCCAUGUGUUGUUUUUGUUUGUUUUGCAUUCUGCUUUUCUUUUUUAACUCAACAUAUUUAUAAUAAUAUCCAUGUUAUUAUAAUAACCUCCAAGAUAUCAUUUUUAAUGACUGCAUUGUAUUCUAUUAAGUGCACCAUGGUGUACUUAGUUCUCCAUUGUAAAACAUUUGGGUUUUUUUUUCACUUAAACUUUUAGCUAUAAAAAUUGUCAUGCAUAAGACUUUUUCAGUACUAGGUGACAAGACGAGAACAUAUUAAGGACUUUGACACAUAUGGCCAAAUUCUUCUUCAAAGGGACUUUUGAUCUGAACCCUCAGUUGUGAUUUCAAAGCAUCUUCCCCAGCAAAGAGCCUUACUGCUUAGAAAAGAAAUGUUAAGCAGAAUCCUUAAGAGAGGGCAUCCAAGGCCAGAUAGGAAGAGAUACCCCAUGCAGUUGGUGCUCAGUGGUGGGAGUCUCCUCCCCACUCUGCCUCUCCUCCCUGUUGCUACUCGCUAAGGGUCUUUGGGUGGAAGGAGAAAGGGUUGGUGCACUUUGGAAGAGCUUUUGGUUAUUAAUGGUGUCCAGAGGCAUCAUAUCUUGAUAGGUGAACUUGUAAGUUAAUGAAGUAAGGUCCUACCUCUGUGAUACUCGGGAUUCACAUUUUCGUAGAUUGGAAACAAGGGGUUUUCUUGUUCACUCCGUAGCUUCCUUGCUCUGAGGACAUCUCUUAUGCACUGAUGUAGGUAUAAGUACUGACACUAUGAAAAAGUAGAAAAUGUGUCAGAGGAAGGCAAGUUCUGAAGCAAAAGAAAGACAAGAGACUCUCAUAAAGCAUCGAGAGUGAUGGGAUUCUAUAUGGUUAGCAAAAAUUUCUUGAUCAUUUCACUAACAGUCUCUAGUGCAUAGAAGAGUGACUGCUUUCUAUUAGCACUAAAAAGAGAAUAAUGGUAAUGAGGAGAGACGGUGGUGUUUAUUCAUUCUCUUUUUAUGUGCAUGCAUAUUUAUAGAGUAUAUUCUAUGAGUGCCUGGGAUUAUGUCUGGCACAUAGUUGGUCCUCUACAAAUAUUAAAUAGUUGACUGAAUGCUAAACACUGUGCUCUGCAUUUUAUAUAAAUUACUUCAUUUGAUUAUUUUGACAACCCCAUCAAGUAGAUAUAAGCAUCCAUAAGAAAGGAGACUCAGAGAAGUUAAGUAACUUCUUACACGGCCAAGAAAUGGGACUUUAGAAUUUGAUCCUAGGGCUCAUAUUCAUGUUCUUUUCACUAUAGCAGUUUUCUUAAGUGACUUCUAAUUUCACUGUAUUAUUUUUUUUCAAAUCUUUAUUUAUUUUGGGAGAGCACAAGUAAGGGAGGGGCAGAGAGAGGGGGACAGAGGACCUGAAGCUGUCUCUGUGCUGACCAGCUGACAGCAGUGAGCCUGAUGUGGGGCUUGAACUCAUGAGCCAUGAGAUCAUGACCUGAGCUGAAGUCGGGCACUCAACUGACUAAGCCACCCGGGCACCCCUAAUUUCAUUGCAUUAUUCAAUGAGAAAAUCACUUCACUAUAUACUCUUUUGUUCUCUUUCUUUAGGGAGGACAGUGAGAAAAAGAAGGUAGGUGUAUACAAUAGACCCCACUGGACCAUCAGUGUUUUGACGGCAAGGUCAGGGUCUUAUCUAUCUCGGUUCUCUCAGCAUCUCAGCUGGCACAAGGAAGAAUCUUGAAGAUGUUGGCUGAUGACAGAGAACUUCAAAGGUUUACACGGUGAGAACAGACUCACCUCUGUCAACUCUCUGGUAACUACUUUUGAAAUAGAAACAAAGAUAGAAGAGUCAGUGUUUUGGUGACCCUAAAGACAUACAAAACCUCCACUGAACACACAGGCUUAGACACAGGCAGCUAAACAUGUGCAUUGGGCUUCCUUCCUCAUUACCUACAGAGCUGUCUAGCAAGGAAAUGUCCGUGUAACCUCCGUGCUUGGCCUUGGGCUCCCUUAAUGACAUAGCAACUCCUCAGAGGGAGAGGACGCUAGAAUGCUCAGAAACCCUAUUUAUUUGUUAUGAGUAUUUUAUGCCACGUUGAUCUUGAAAAUUUGAGGAGGGAGCUGUCCUGAAAAUCAUUGUUAGUAUAGGCAGUUUCUUUUUGCCAUCAUUAAGACAAUCUACCAAAUUAUAGAUUGACAUUUCCUGUUUCUUCCCAACCAAACCAUGAUUCAUACUUUCAACUGUACUGGGAUAUUAAAUUACUUUGGGACCUUAAAAUUCAGCUGUGAAUGAAUUCUAUUACAUCUAUGGUAUGCCUUACUAAUAAAUUCUUCAACAAUGACCCACUAUGGGCUUUGAAACCAGUUAAUAUUCAUUAAUUUGCCUUGCCUUAAAUAUAAAUUCUUUUCCCAAUGGAACGUCCUUUUGAAAAUGAUUACCACUAAAACCUUCAGACUGUUAAUGUGCCUCCCACUUUAUUCUUAAUGGAAAAAUACAGUUUAAUAUAUGAACCUUGGAUCUUAAAAGAUAAUUUUUGGCUCUGCCUAGCUAACUUAUGAAGCCUCGAUUCCAUUCAAUUUCACCAAUAGUUGUAGUACUAGAUAGUAUUUAUAGAAUAAUAGCCUUUCACGGUCCCUGAGUUCGCAGUUUAGCAGAAGGGCAGAUAUGUGAACAAAUACCUAUAAGGUUAUAAAUGUGAGAUAGAAUUGUGUGUAACACUUCACACAUAAGAAGAAACCCUCAGGUUCACUUUUGGGGGAGAGAAGUAUCAACCUAAGGGAAAGGUAAAAAUUUGAGCAAAUAAGUAGGACCUUCCAAGUGUCAUAAAUAAUAUGACAGUGCACAUAUGUAUUCUAGAAGCUGUGAGCAGUCUAGGGUAGCUAAAAUGUAGGGUGCAUGGGUCAUGGGAAACCCCAAGGACAAUCCCCCAAAUGGGCACUGAGAUGCUUAUUCCUACAACAUCCCACUAUUUCCUCCUUAGGGGAAGCAGAUGAGUUUAACAGACUGUGCCUAUCACCUAUCGUUCUUUAACAAGUUAUUGCUUCAUCUGAGUGUCUCUCUGGGAGUCAGGCUGCAAAUUUCCCCAGGCUAAAGAAGAAGGGACACAUCUGAAAAUCUCCUGUUUGAUUCCUCUUUGUUUAGAAAUCCUUGCUCUUUGAUCUAUUUAUUAAAAUCUGUGAAGACCUGCAAUCCCUUGGUAUCCCAAAUAAGGUGAAAUAAAAUUAAAGUUGCCUAUCCCCAAGAACCCAGAAAAGUAAUAAAAGGGGUCUGAAAGCCUUUCCUUCUUUGCUUCCCUUGGCUCAGCUGUGGUUCACACCCCUCUGCACUCACUCUUGGUACUGAGUGAGCCAUACCAGUGCCGAGGCCAGGGCUUCUGAGACUAGAAAAAGCCCACUGUGGGCAAGGAGUUAAAACAAGACAGAUAUUAUCUGAAUAUUGUUUGGGAUUUCAUCUGACAGUGGGAAGAAAAGAAGAGAGAGAGAAAAUUUCUCUUACUAUAAUGUUUAUUUCAUUAUAAUCAAAAGAAUCAGAGUUGAUUCUGACCCAGGAAGGGAAGCCUUCCUGAAUUUUGGCAGACCCUAAAACAAUGGGUUAUGCUGUGGUAUGAAACAGGAGAAGUAAGUAGAGCCCAGUUAUGAAGAGGCCUGUAGACAAGGACAAAUGCACUUCAUUUGAAAGCAAUGGAGAGCUUGCCAAGAUUUUUAUGCAGGAGCUGACAUAGCUAGCAAAAGUACUGUGUUGGUGGCAGUGGUGACAAAGAGCUGUUAGGGCAGAGGCUGGUGGUAGGAGAUAACACUAGGAGAUUACCAGGAGAGCUGAUAAAUGGCUGAGCAAGGACAGUGGCAGCUGGGUGGGAGACUAGAAGGAAGAGAAAGAUGUUAGGUGCUACUGACAGGACUCCGUGACUGCUUGAAUGUGAGAACUGUGGAAAAGAAGUCAGAAUCCUAGCUUGGGCAAACAGGUGGAAGGCAAGAUGGAUAGCAACACUGUCACCCGAAACUGAAAUGAGCAAGAGGGGGAGGAGCGCUUUCUUUGCUUGUUUAAAGACAAAUAAUGAGUUCAGUUUUGAGUUUUUAAAUUUGAGAUGACUGUAAAGCUUUCUGGUGGAACUGUAUGGUAGGCAGGUACUUAGGUCAUUGCUGGAAAAGGAGAAUGAGACUUGAAAACACAAGCUCGUACAUGGUUCUUCAAGCCAUGGGACAUCACAAGGAAUGAAGAUCCAGAGAAGGAAGAACAACACCUUGAGGACAGAUCUGUGGGGAAUCCAACCACUGAAAGGGCAAGCUAAGGAACAAGAGCUAUAGAAUCCUCAGAAGUUAGGAGGAGAAGGAGGAGGGAAGAGGAGAAAGAAGGAGUUAUGUCCAAGAAGGAGGAAGAGUUAUGGCACAUGGGCUUACUCUGCCCCGGAAGUCUGCCAGUGAUAUUUACAAUAGGAGUGGUUGCUCUUUGCCACAGUGCAUCUCCAGAGUUUGGGGCAGGAGUAUGCAAGUGACACAUGACCCAAGAAGCCUCUGACAAUAAUUAAGGAGCCUGAACACACACACACUCUCUCUCUCUCUCUCUCUCACACACACACACACACACACACACACGCCUCAAGACUACUUACAAUGUAGUAAGCAGUCUUAAUCCCCAGAUUAUAAAUUAAAUAUGGGUUGAGUUUGUAGAAAUGACAAUAAAUAAUGAAACACUGAUCCUGACUUUUUAGCAACAUAUUUGUAGGAUAUCAGUUCAUUCAUUUAGCAGGCAAAAAAAGAAAAAAAAUUGCAUUUUGAGAGAAGGAAAACGAAUUCCUACAGUCUUUGGAACUGGUAGUCUUAUGGAGAAAGAUGAAGGAUGGCAGUUAUGAUACAGUGUGGUAUAAUUCUGCAAGCCUUAAUGAAAUAACAGAGCUAGACAGCUAUGUUCAGGUCGCCAACAGUUGCUAAAACUGUUUAAGUGAAAGGCUCAUGGGAAAUGUUAUAAUGGAUGGUCAUUGUCAAUUUCAUCAAAAGAGUCUCCAGACGGGAAGGGUGUCCUGAUGCGAUGCAACAGGCAGUACUUGGCACCACCUGUAAAGCAUUGGGGUGGUAAAAAGAAACCUGACUUUAAUGGAACCUCUAGAUCCAAUGACCUGCUGACAAAAAUUACAGGGAAGAGAGGAAUAUAUUACCAGCAUGAAAAAGCAGUCAAAUCCAGAAUGUGGGAAAAAUCUGUGAACAAAUUAAGCUGGUGUCUUUAACAAAUCAAUGGCUUGGAAAACAAGGGAGGGUAAUUAUAGAUUUAAAAGAAAUUUAAAAGAGACUUUGACCAAAGGCAGUAUGUGGACUCUGUUUGGAUUCUUAUGCAAACUAAGUGUGGAAAGUAAUUUUUGAGAUAAUUAGGGAUAUUUGAACACUAACUGGAUGUUAGAUGAUAUUAAGGGAUUAUGGUUAAAAUUUUUAGGUGUGAUAAUUGUAUUCUGGUCACAAUUUUAAAAAGAGUCCUUAUCUGUAAAGUAUCUGCAUAUACUUUAUUUAAGGAUGAAAUCGUGUGAUAAGUAGGAUUUCCUUUAAAAAUAAGGUUAUGGGGUGGGGGAUAGUGUAUGCGGGAUGUAGAUGAAAAAAGAGCAUAGAAUGCUGAUAAUUGUAGAAGCUGGAGUUCACAUGCAUGGAAAUUCACUAUGCUAUUUUCCCUAGAUAUAUGAAUUUUAAAAAUUCCACAAUAAAAUAUUAAAAAUAUAGUGUAAUAAUUGUUACAAUGAAAGUACUCCCAGCCCAGGACAGUGGUGGUGACAGAGGGUCCCAGGUGUGGCCACUGCCUAUGGGAAGCAAGGAUGCUAGUAUUUUUCCAAAUGUGUUACAGCACGAGAGAUCUGCAGGAUAUUAAUAUGUGCUGCACAAGAAAAGAAUCCAGCCAUCAAGGUGGUUGGGAAUAGUGGGUUCAACAAAACUCAAGGGGAGCCUUUGCUGCAGGAUGUUCCUGUUUUGUGGAGCACGGCUGCCUCCACAGUUUUCCUGUGUACUAUAACUGCAAGAGGGGCAUGUAGGGCUUUGUAUCUUUCCAACAAUGGGAAUAUAUAUAUAUAUUCUCCAUAUAUAUAUGGAGAGAGAGAGAGGGAGAGAGAGAAAGAGAGGAUUUUGCAGAGUUGCUUGGGAAACACAAGGGUAAGAGAACUUGAGUCUUAUAAGGCAAUGAUGCAGGGGGGAUAACAAGCUUGGUCUGUGUGUGAGCACAGAUCUGACCCUGAGGUUGUGGGGCUAAGGGCCUGGGACUCUCUUGAAUGGGUUUGAGUCCCAGCUUGGCCACUUCAUAGCUGUGCAAAGCCCUUUAGCCUCUGAAUCUCAUUCUAGCCUGGAAAUGGGAAAUGACACUUCUCUUGUCUGUUUUUUUGUGAAAAUUUAAUGAGAUAACAUGUUCAAAAAUGCCCAACAAAUGUCAAAGGACAGCACAAAUGGAAGCAUUUAUCCUUUGUAAUCAAUGUGCAUGCAGUCCUUUGGGGUCUUUAGAGGUGGGCUGGGGUGGGCUGGAGGAGAGAAGAGACUGCAGUCUGUUUCUUUUUUCUUAAUGGAAGUUCUGGUACUCACUAGCCAGCCUAUCUGGAAAUAACCUUCAAGACUGGCCUGGCCUUUCCCCCAUGUACACCCACGUACAAUGCAUUGAUUUAAAACAGUGCUUCCCACCCACCUACAGAAGAUGGCCAACCGGUGCAGUAGAGAAAAGGACACACAUCAGCCUCAAGGUCACUGAAAUAUGUUUACAAUGACGAGUCUGACAGAACACCUAUAUUCAGUUCUCUUUCUCUUCCUGAUGAGUCACAGUCAUUUGCCCCUGUCAGAUUAAAGCCUUGGACAUUUUAGGGGAAAGAGGCAGGGAAGGUGAUCUGUGUCCUUCAGCCUGUAACUCUUACCUCGGUCUGGACCAUGUGAACCCUGUGAAGUCUUAGGUCGUGCACCGCUCCAUAAAUGUCCACAGAGUCUUUGGAGUCUAAUUGCUGGAGGAUUCUGUCCAAUGCGAUAAAGGUUCCAGUCCUACCCACACCGGCACUAGGAGAGAGAGUGAAGGAAGACUGAGCCUUUUUUCUUAAAUUAGCCUUUCAGGACUGCAUCCCCAGAGACUCUAGGCCCAUCUUUCUUUUCCCUUCCAGGUUAUGAGAGAAUAUGGGAAUCCUUCUUUCCCUCUGAGAAAAGUUCCAGCUUUUCAUCUCUUUUUCCUUCCUUCCUCUACCUCCCCCGCCCCACCAGGGAUAAGUGCUUCUCUACACUUAGUGUGCGUUUCCAUGGAUGUUUUAUACUUUUCCUGCAUACAUGUAAAACCAUGAACCAUAUACUCAUUUUUUAUGUUCCAAAAAUUGACCAAAAUGGUAACAUGUUUUAUGUAUCCUUCUGCCAACUUUCUUUUUACUCAGUAUUGUGUUCUGAGAUUUAUCCAUGUUGUUACAUGCAGAUCCACUUUCUUUUUUUUUUUUUAAUUUGAUUCUUAUUUAUUUAAGUUUUUACUUAUUUAUUAUUUUUGAGAGAGAGAGAGAGAGAACCAGUGGGGGAGGAGCAGAGCGAGAGGGAGACAGAGGAUCUGAAGCAGGCUCUGCACUGACAGCAGAGAACCGGACUCAGGGCUCUAACUCACAAACUGUGAGAUCAUGAUCUGAGCUGAAAUCAAGAGUCGGACUCUUGACUGACUGAGCCACCUAGGCACCCCAAGAUCCACUUUCUUUUAACUACUCCACAGAGUUCAUAAACCACUGCCAAUCUAACCCCUGCUAAUCUAUUCCCUACUGACAGGCAAUGAGAUCAUUUUUAGUUAUUCUCCUUUAAACAUUGUGUUGCAGUGAGCCUCCUUGUGCACAUGCAUGGGGACUUCUCGGGUUGAUAUCUAGAAGCAGAACUGAUGGGUCAUUGGGAAGCUAGAAUCCCUAGCUUCAGUAGGGAUUGCUGAAUUGCUUCCCAAAGUGACUGUGUAACUGGAGGUUUCUGAUGCACAGAUUUGUAAGAUAAAGAAUAACAGUUCUCAAGUGGUCCCGGCAGAAAUGCCAGCCAUUCUUCAGAAAGCAGGAAGCUCCUGAGUGCUUCACAUUCCCAUUAAAAGCAUCAGGGUUCCAAUGACAUAUAAAAGCCAGGCUCCUAGGGUGCUGGGCUAACUGCGAGGAAACGAGGGCAUCUGACAUUUCUCUUACUGUAGCAAUUCCCUGCUCUUUAUUUCUUAGUGCCAUUCCGUCAGGGCUAUCAAAGUGUUGCUGCAAACAUUAAUUAGCUAAGCAUCAGGCUCCCCAGAGACGAAGAGUGAGGCAUUGCUUGUUAGGCUGGUUAUAUGGGUAUACAGUCCAAAGCAAAGAGAAGUCAAGACAGAACAGAGAUUUAAGAGCAAAACUGGGUGCUCCAGAUGGCAAGUGCUACUUGACCUGCAGGGAGGUCUGGAGCAGGGAUCUGGAAGGGUGCUCAGGGUUUAUACAAGUGGAGCAGGGAGAUUUGGCCAUUCCAAAGAGUAAGGAUGGCAAGAGGCGAGAAUAGGCAGGUUUGUGGAGAGCGUGGGAGGGAGGUUUCCAGGAAUUUGGGUUGGGAAGUGAGACGGACCCACUUAUGGCGGGCCUGGAAGUCACAUAGGGACUUUGCAUUUUGUACAGCAGCAAAAAGAGCAAGAGGGAGAGAGAAAGGGAUGGAGAGUGAGGGUGAGAGACAGGUGGAAGGUGAAGAAAGGGAGAAAGAAGACAGGAGAGAGCACAAUAAUGUGCUCUCAGCCUGCGCAGGCCGGUUGGCCCAGACAGACGCUCCACUCCCCGUCGGUACCUGCAGUGCACCACGGUGGGCCCGGCACCGGGGCUUCUGCUGAUGUAAUCCCUGACGGUUCUCACGAACUGGAUCAGGGACUGGGUGGUUUCUGGGACCCCGUGGUCUGGCCACACUGUGUAGUGAAAGUGGCGGAUGAGUCUGUGUGCAUCGAGCUGUUCCUCCUGGAAGGCAGAGAGGAUGAUAAGAGGAAGGACACCCCCCACCACCACCAAAAAAAAAAAAAAAAAAAAAAAAGGAAGGACCCAAGGCAAACAUACAAGUCUGACAUCUGAUGCCACUCAGCAACUCCCAUGAGCUGAAACUAUGGGGGAGGAAGCGGCAAAAAGGGGAUUCAUGGGUGUCCUGUGUCUUUCCAAUAGGGGCUGUUAGGUUAAGUCAAACAGACAAACAUACGCUGCAUAUCCUAAAUUCCCGGAUGGUCCACUCAGGCAGCACAGACUCUGAGAGCAUCUGCAGGAUGAGGUCCCCAUAGUAGAGGGAAUCCUGGUCUGCUGGCCAGUAAUGAUCACACUUUACCUAGAGGAAGACAGAGAUAUGUGAGUCUGGAAACGUGACUCCUCUAUGAACCUGGAUGUUUCCUCCUCAAAACAUCUUCCUGAGCUGGAAUCUAGGGUCAGCUGCUAGAGCGUCUGACCAUCUGCUCUACAUCAGUGUGCUCAGGGCCAGUGCUCAAACCAGGCUGCAGUUGCGAAGGAAGGAGAGACUUAGAGGGAGCUCUCCUUGGAGACUAUCCAAGGAGCGAAGCCCCGACUUUGGGUUCACGUACCUUUCAGGCACACUGUUCCAAGGCUUGAGCUUUCUGUUGAUUUCCUUUGCAUUUCAAUUCCACUGGCCCAUAACCCACAUAUUACAAUAGUUCUUUCUCAAGAAAGUUCUAGGUGGGCAGAGGAAGCCAAUGUCUUCUUGGCCCUGUUUUGUUUCUAUUUUGAUAUCACUGUCCUCACCCAGACCAAAUGCCAUGUGCCAAGUGAUAUUUGAAAAUUCGGAACAUUUAGCUAAGCUUCAAUUUACAUGUAGGAAGACAGGAGGGAGAAUUAUGAACCCAUAUUUAUUGAUCACAGAUACUGGGUAUUUUAUAUGCAAUCUCUUUUUUCAUCCUCAAAAUAACCACAUAAAAUAGAGGCUUAUAAAUGCAUUACAAGAUUUGCUUAAUUUGUCCAGAUAACUAUUUUAUUUUAUUUUUAAAGCUUAUUUAUUUUUUAUGGGGGGGGGUAGGGGCAAAGGGAGAGGGAGAGGGAGAGAGAGAGAGAGAGAGAGGGAGGUUUUCAAGCAGGCUCCACACUGUCAGCUCAGAACCUAAUACACGGCUCCAACCCACAAACUGUGAGAUCAUGACCCGAGCCAAAACCAAGAGUUGGACACUUAACGGACUGAUCCACCCAGGCGCCCUAGAUAACUAUUUCACUUUGUGUCUGCAGUCUAAAGUUUACUUCUUCUUUCCUAAAAGUAGGGGCAGAGCCAGUGAUUCUGGCAAGGUAUACACUGAAGGGUGGAACAGACAAGGAGCCACCUAAUAUUUCUGUGUCAUGGGCACUUCUGAUGAUCCCAGUCUUCAAAUGGAAACACCUUUGCCUGAAACUUCAGACCCAGCAUCAGAAGUGGGUAUCACCCAGGUAAGCCUCUUGUAACUGAGUGGCUGAAUUCACUAACAAUGUUCUCACAUGAUCCCUCCUUCGCUUUUAUGGAGUUUAACUCUCGGAGGUGGGGUAGAAUUCCAUCCUGGGGGCGGUAAGCAAAGUUCGGAAGUCAGGGAGACUGUUUACUCACCCUGCCCUUCUCCACACACUGGGUCACCAUGACGAUGUUGUGAACAUUCUGUUCCCACGCCAUUUUCCAGAAGUCAUCCUUCGUGCCAGGAAGAGGUCCCUGAGUAGCAAUGUAUUCUCUUCUGAAGUUGUUGCCCUGUGAUGAAUUUACAACAUGGAGAGUCAGGAACAAUAGGCCUCCUCAGGACUGUAAACAGAGGGUUAUCUCUGCAGACUACAUGAUAUAUAGGUCUUUGCCAGAUCCCUGACUUGAGAAAAAGAUACUAACACAAGUGUCAAGGCUUGGGAACAGGAAGGACAAAGGCCGGAACACUGAACUAUUGUUAGGAGCCUGCUUCCCAUUUAUUAGUCUGGGUCUAUUCUAAGAGGCAAUGGAGGACUCAGGCAAUAAUCUAGACAGUGUGUGUGUGUGUGUGUGUGUGUGUGUGUGUGUGUGUAGGAAGGGACUGUCUGAGGGACUGACUUGGAUCAGGCUCUUCCCCUAUUCAAUGUAGGGGAGCUUUAAACAUUUUGGAUAGUUGAUAUGAGCGCUGGUUGGAGACAUCGUACAAGGGAAAGUUAGGGGAAGGGAAACCAUUGUUUAUCGAGCAUCUACCAUAUACUGUGGGGCAGGACUUCCACAGAUCUUACUUAAUCUUCACCACAACUCUAUGAGCUAGGAUAUUUUCGUCCACUUAUUCUGCACUCCAGGAAGACAGAAUUACUUGCAGCUCCUAGCUGAAGUUCCUUCUCUCCUUGCCUCUCCUCGGGGCCCCUGCACUGUGUCACCUCUGCCACCCCCACGCCCGCCCACCCAAACACUGCCUCUUGGCUGGCUAGUCCUUAUUUAGCCUCCAUGUUUCAGCAUGUUGCCUGCUCUGCUGAGCCUUCCUUUAUCUUCAGCUCUGCGGGCUGGUGGUCUCCUCCCAGAAGCUCCCCUGGCCACCCCUAGCUUCUUGCUCCCCAGAGACCAGCAGCCCGGUGAUGACCUGGGGAGCUUGUGAGAAAUGCAGAAACCCAGGUCCUACUCAGCCCUGCCGAAUCAGAGUCUGCAUUUUAACAAGACCCUACAUGCUGUGGAUGUAUGUUGAUGGUGGAGAAGACUUCUCUAGCGUGUUUCCCAUGGCAUCGCCUUGUCAUUUCCUGAUGUCCCGACUCUUCUCUGAUGGUCAGGAUUCCACCUGACCUUAUCCCUAUACAUAGCUCAGCGUCUGACUUAUAGUUACUACUUAACUGCAUAGUGUUUAUUGAGUGAAUGAAUAAUUAUUUGAGGUAAAUAUUAUUUUCCUCAUUUUUUGGGAAAGAAAAUGAGGCCCCAAGAGGUGACAUAACUUGCCCGAGGUCACAGAGUCAGCAAGGGGCAGAGAUGAAAUUCAAAUGUGAAACUAUCUGACCUUAAAGUCUUUUCCACUGUAGUGUGCUGUGGGAAGUUGGCAAGAUGCUAGUCAGAAUUUGAGCCCAAUAGUUUGACACAACUUUUGAGUUCUGUCUUUGGUUUUCAAAAAUCCAAAUAACAUUGAGUCAGCUCCCCUAGCUGGGCAGCCUGAGCCAUGGAGCUUCCUUAGGGAGCUCUAAUCUUUGCUGAGAGCUGCAGAGAGAAGACUAGCCUUGACAAUGCCUCCUGAGCUCAUUAUCAUCUUGUGUGACUAUAGCCAUUGUGAAAAAUGGGCCCUAGCAGUGAUGGAAUUGCACCCCCUGUGUUUUAUGGCAAUCAGACCUAUGUGCUUCCAGACCUGGGAACAGUGUGGGAGCAUGUGGGAGGAAAGGUGUCUGCAAAGUAGCCACCCAUCAAAGCUUCAUCCCAGGCACUAUGGCUUAAUGGUUCACUUACAGGGAUGUAGCUGGCAUUGAUGUAGUCUGAGCACGGGUCAUCAUCUACAUUGGACAGCUUCACUCGAGAGGCAUCAUCUGGAAGGAAGUUGAUUGAGAGUCACUGGAUCUUAGGAUGAUUUUUUCUACUAUUUGAUGGAAGGCUUGGUAUUUGAUAUGCAUUAGCUCUGACCCCCAAAACACCCAGAGGGAGGUAUUCUCAUCUCCAUUUGCAGAUGAGGGUCAGACAGGGUGACUGAUUUGCCAAGUUGCUCAGGAGGCCCAUAAACACACAAACAAGCCAAAUGCUCUUUGAGGCCCCCUCUGCUCUUUCCUUCAUAACACUAUACCUUUCCCCGAUGGAGUGGCCGGCUCCCUUUCACAGCCGGAAUAAAUACAAUCCAGAACAACUAUUUUCUACUGCCUCACCUGCUAGGGUCAGGAUAAUAAAAAAUAUAUAAUAACUCCUAACUUAGGACUUGAAGGAAACCCACACUGGCCUUUGCUGUUAACCCCAUUACUGCU